rnacentral:rRNA from 1 species
AACGAACGCUGGCGGCGUGCCUAACACAUGCAAGUCGAACGGGAAAACCCGCAAGGGUGAGUACAGUGGCGCACGGGUGCGUAACACGUGGGUAAUCUGCCCAGAAGCCCGGAAUAACUCCCCGAAAGGGGUGCUAAUGCCGGAUGAGACCACGGGGACUUCGGUCCCUGGGGGAAAAGGUGGCCUCGUUAUACAAGCUACCGCUUCUGGAUGAGCCCGCGGCCCAUCAGCUAGUUGGCGGGGUAAUGGCCCACCAAGGCUACGACGAGUAGCUGGUCUGUGAGGACGAUCAGCCACACUGGAACUGAGACACGGUCCAGACUCCUACGGGAGGCAGCAGUGGGGAAUCUUGCGCAAUGGGCGAAAGCCUGACGCAGCAACGCCGCGUGUGUGAUGAAGGUCUUCGGAUCGUAAAGCACUGUCGGGAGGGACGAAUAAGGGCCGGGUGAACAAUCCGGUUCGACGACGGUACCUCCAGAGGAAGCACCGGCUAACUCUGUGCCAGCCGCCGCCGUAAAAC